rnacentral:lncRNA from 1 species
UGACGUCCCAGACAUGGUCUUACACGAAAAAACAUAUCGGAGUCCUAUGUCAUGACAUAAGUAUCCUAUCUAUUCCUAGGGUUCGUAUGGGGCUUUUAGGCGUUGAUUAUCGAUCGAAUCAAACUCGAAACAAAAUUCCUAUCUCAAUAAUCCCAUUAGGCCAAAACAUAUAACAAAUAAAAUAAUUUAAUUCAUCACUUAUCAUUUAUAUAUCCUUAAAUUUAACAAUAUUUAAAUGCUUAUCGACUUACCUCGGAUAUCGACGGACGAAAUCAACUACUCGACUACUUUCGACUUCCCUCGAUCUAAUUCUG